rnacentral:ncRNA from 2 species
AAAAAUCUUCGGGGCAGGGUGUAAUUCCCGAUCGGCGGUAUAGUCCGCGAGCCAUCAUGGCAGAACCGUUGCAACUACGGUACCGACAGUAAAGUCUGGAAGGAAGGAGAUAAAA